rnacentral:rRNA from 1 species
UACGUAGGGUGCAAGCGUUGUCCGGAAUUAUUGGGCGUAAAGAGCUCGUAGGCGGUUUGUCGCGUCUGCUGUGAAAACCCGAGGCUCAACCUCGGGCCUGCAGUGGGUACGGGCAGACUAGAGUGCGGUAGGGGAGAUUGGAAUUCCCGGUGUAGCGGUGGAAUGCGCAGAUAUCAGGAGGAACACCAAUGGCGAAGGCAGAUCUCUGGGCCGUAACUGGACGCUGAGGAGCGAAAGCAUGGGGAGCGAACAGG